AUUCUUCGUAAGAGCGCUGAAAAAGAAAGAGGCUCUUCCCGCCUUCUCGGCUUAUCAGGCUCCGGCUCUGUUCAUCUCUCCUUUUCACUUCUCCACUGAAAGGAAAAAGGGGCAGACAAAAUUUCUAAUCCCUAAUCUCCAUGCUUCUCCUGUAGAAUCCACCGUCUUCCCGUCGCCUCUCCCCGCUGCGCUUCUUGUUUGAGCAGAGAGCUGUUAAGGAAAGUAUAUAUGGGCGCAUUUUGCAAUGACGACCUCUCUUUCCCACCGCUGUACAGCUUCGCUUCCUCCCAGGAUUUGAGAUUUUCGAAACACGUUCACGAUAAUGUUCACGGCAACAUCUAUCUCGAUCCGCUCUUUCUGAAGUUUGUAGAUACCGAGCAGUUCCAAAGGCUUCGGGACUUGAAACAACUGGGUAUAGCACACUUGGUUUAUCCAGGAGCUGUGCAUUCUAGGUUUGAGCAUUCCCUUGGGGUGUAUUGGCUAGCUGGUGAAGCAGUUCACAAACUCAAGGGACAGCAUGGCUUGGAGCUUGCUAUUGAUCGUUUUGAUGUUAAAUCAGUGAAACUUGCAGGACUUUUGCAUGAUGUGGGACAUGGGCCUUUCAGUCAUUUGUUUGAACGAGACUUUCUAUGUCGGGUUCUCAAUGGCUUUGAAUGGUCUCAUGAGCAAAUGUCAACAAAGAUGGUUGACCAUAUUGUCGAUGAGCACCAUAUUGAAAUUGACUCUGAAAUCAUUAAGAGAGUUAAGGAAAUGAUAAUUGCGAGCUGCGAAAUUGCACGGCCAAAAAGCACAAGAGAAAAGUAUUUUCUGUAUGAUAUUGUUGCAAAUGGUCGAAAUGGGAUUGAUGUUGACAAGUUCGAUUACAUCACUCGUGAUUGCCGAGCUUGUGGCCUAGGUUGCAACUUCCAGUUCCAAAGGUUAAUGGAGACAAUGCGGGUUUUGGACAAUGAGAUAUGCUAUCCAGCUAAGGAUUAUCUUACUGUAUACAAGUUGUUUGCCACUCGUGCUGAUCUGCAUCGAACCGUCUACACGCAUGCAAAAGUAAAGGCUAUAGAACUCAUGGUUGUAGAUGCCUUGUGUAAAGCAAAUGAUUAUCUACAAAUUUCAUCUCACAUUCACGAUCCUUCUGAAUAUUGGAAGUUGGAUGAUUCAAUAUUAAAAGCAAUUGAGACAGCUCAGGACCCAGAACUAAAGGAAUCUAGGGACCUGAUACGUCGCAUUCGCAGGAGGGAUUUGUACCAGUUUUGUAAUGAGCUUACUGUUCCGAAGGACAAUCUGGAAUAUUUCAAAGAUGUCACUCCGAAAGAUAUCAUUUGUUCACAGAAAACUGGUCGGGUGAUGUUAAGAGAAGAGGAUGUUGCUGUUACCAAUGUCAGGGUUGAUUUGACUCGUGGAAGGCAUAAUCCUCUUGAAAGCGUCAAUUUUUUCAAGGACUAUGAGACAGAUGAGAAGUUUUCCAUACCUGAUGAUCGCAUAAGUCACUUGCUGCCCUCUUCCUACCAAGAUAUGAUUGUGCGAGUUUAUUCCAAAAAGCCUGAACUGGUAGGAGCAGUUUCUGAGGCUUUUGAAAAUUUUCAGUUGAAAACAUAUGGAGUCAAAGCACAGGUGCAUGCUACCCCAGAGAAGAAAAAGCGACGAAUGUGAGGCUGCAGAUGCAGAUGUUGCGUCUCUAUCUGAUCAAAACAAGAUUAUUUCAGUUACAACAAGAGGAAUUUAUACAAUUGUGAAGUUUCUACAUUAUUUUUGCAACUAAGCUAGACCUUCCGGUGAUCGAGCUUAGCAAGCUCCAGGGUAGGGUGAUAGUAUAGCGUAGGGUGAAUGACUGUAGAACUCAAAAGUAUUAUGUUAUGUUUUAAUUUUCCGGUUAUGUAAUGUGGACGUGUGGAUAUACUUUAUGGUUGUAAAAGUUAGUACUCUGGUAUUUUAAAUUGAGGAUAAUUAAUUAUUUUCAUUGCGUGCAUGGUAAUUGUGGUAUCAGAGAUAUAUGCAUGAACCAUAACACUCUGGACCUCACUCCCGGGUUCGGGACGUUAUAGUUUAUAACCCUAUAAUUUCCAUUUAGAGUCGUGCAUAUGCCCUAUUAACUAUAAGGCAACUAAUAGUCUUUCUAUUGAAUUAAGCCUAACCUUUUGCCAUGUUUUCAUGUUCUUUUACUACCCAUCAAA